rnacentral:rRNA from 1 species
AGCGAACGCUGGCGGCAGGCUUAACACAUGCAAGUCGAGCGGGCACUUUCGGGUGUCAGCGGCGGACGGGUGAGUAACGCGUGGGAACGUGCCCUCUGGUUCGGAAUAACUCAGGGAAACUUGAGCUAAUACCGGAUACGCCCUUUUGGGGAAAGGCUUGCUGCCGGAGGAUCGGCCCGCGUCUGAUUAGCUAGUUGGUGAGGUAACGGCUCACCAAGGCGACGAUCAGUAGCUGGUCUGAGAGGAUGAUCAGCCACACUGGGACUGAGACACGGCCCAGACUCCUACGGGAGGCAGCAGUGGGGAAUAUUGGACAAUGGGCGCAAGCCUGAUCCAGCCAUGCCGCGUGAGUGAUGAAGGCCUUAGGGUUGUAAAGCUCUUUUAUCCGGGACGAUAAUGACGGUACCGGAGGAAUAAGCCCCGGCUAACUUC